UUCCAGACUCCUACGGGAGGCAGCAGUGGGGGAUAUUGCACAAUGGGGGGAACCCUGAUGCAGCGACGCCGCGUGGGUGAAGGAGCGUUUCGGCGCGUAAAGCCCUAUCGGCAGGGAAGAAGGAGGACGGUACCUGACUAAGAAGCCCCGGCUAACUACGUGCCAGCAGCCGCGGUAAUACGUAGGGAGCAAGCGUUGUCCGGAAUUACUGGGCGUAAAGGGCGCGUAGGUGGGCGCUUAAGUCAGGUGUGAAAACUCCGGGCUCAACCUGGAGACUGCACUUGAAACUGGGUGUCUUGAGGGCAGGAGAGGAAAGUGGAAUUCCUAGUGUAGCGGUGAAAUGCGUAGAUAUUAGGAGGAACACCAGUGGCGAAGGCGGCUUGCUGGGCCAUUACUGCCGCUGAGGAACGAAAGCGUGGGGAGCAAAUAGGAUUAGAUACCCCGGUAAA
rnacentral:rRNA from 1 species